rnacentral:rRNA from 1 species
GACGAACGCUGGCGGCGUGCCUAAUACAUGCAAGUCGAACGCAGUGGGGACGGGUGAGUAACACGUGGGUAACCUCCCAUCAGAGGGGAUAAAACUUGGAAAAAGGUGCAAAACCGAUAAGGAUGGAGGGAGCCGCGGUGCAUUAGCUAGUUGGUGAGGUAACGGCUCACCAAGGCCACGAGGCAUAGCCGACCUGAGAGGGUGAUCGGCCACACUGGGACUGAGACACGGCCCAGACUCCUACGUGAGGCAACAGUAGGGAAUCUUCGGCAAUGGACGAAAGUCUGACCGAGCCACGCCGCGUGAUUGAAGGAGGUUUUCUGAUCGUAAAACUCUGUUGUUAGAGAAGCGGUAUCUAACCAGAAAGCCACGGCUAACUACGUGCCAGCCGCCGCGGUAAUUC